CCGCCCUUAGCUCAGUCGGAUAGAGCAACGGCCUUCUAAGCCGUAGGUCACACGUUCGAAUCGUGUAGGGCGGGCCAGAAUUCUUAGCUUAUUCAAGUGCUUACGAUUUCGCCUUAACCGCGUGGUU
rnacentral:tRNA from 1 species